rnacentral:rRNA from 1 species
UACGUAGGUGGCAAGCGUUGUCCGGAAUUAUUGGGCGUAAAGCGCGCGCAGCCGGUCCUUUAAGUCUGAUGUGAAAGCCCACGGCUCAACCGUGGAGGGUCAUUGGAAACUGGAGGACUUGAGUACAGAAGAGGAAAGUGGAAUUCCACGUGUAGCGGUGAAAUGCGUAGAGAUGUGGAGGAACACCAGUGGCGAAGGCGACUUUCUGGUCUGUAACUGACGUUGAGGCGCGAAAGCGUGGGGAGCAAACAGG